rnacentral:rRNA from 1 species
UACGGAGGGUGCGAGCGUUGUCCGGAAUCACUGGGCGUAAAGGGCGCGUAGGUGGCGCGAGGAGUCAACGGUGAAAGCUCGGCGCUCAACGCCGAGUCGGCCGUCGAUACUCUCGUGCUUGAGCACUGUAGAGGCAGAUGGAAUUCCGGGUGUAGCGGUGGAAUGCGUAGAGAUCCGGAAGAACACCGGUGGCGAAGGCGGUCUGCUGGGCAGUUGCUGACGCUGAGGCGCGACAGCGUGGGGAGCAAACAGG